AGGUGUGGAUAGGGGAGAAAUUCCAAUCGAACCCGGAGAUAGCUGGUUCUCCUCGAAAUAGCUUUAGGGCUAGCCUCGAUACAGAUUUGCGGAGGUAGAGCACUGAAUUUCCUAGGGGGCGUCAAAGCCUACCGAAGAAUAUCAAACUCCGAAUGCCGCGUAAUCGAUUAUCGGGAGUCAGACUGCACGAGAUAAGUUGGGCGGUCAAAAGGGAAAGAGCCCAGACCUUCAGUUAAGGUCCCCAAGUGCGCGUUAAGUGGAAAAGGAUGUGGGAUUUCGAAGACAACCAGGAUGUUGGCUCAGAAGCAGCCAUCCAUUCAAAGAGUGCGUAAUAGCUCACUGGUCGAGAGGUCCUGCGCCGAAAAUGUCCGGGGCUGAAACGCGCCACCGAAACUAAGGAACCGAAAGGUUGGUAGAGGAGCAUUGCAUGCGGGAAGAAGCAGUACCGUAAGGAGCUGUGGACUGCAUGGAAGAGAGAAUGCCGGAAUGAGUAGCGAGAAUAAGGUGAGAAUCCUUAUGGCCGAAUAUCCAAGGUUUCCAGAGUAAAGCUGAUCUGCUCUGGGUAAGUCGGGGCCUAAGGCGAGGACGAGAGUCGUAGCCGAUGGACAACAGGUGGAGAUUCCUGUACUGCGGUAUGACAGAACUGUGGGGACACGUAAGGAAAGCGGAAGCCGGGAAUGGAAAGCCCGGUGCAAGCGGGGUACCAGUCACUUUGGCAAAUCCGGGUGGCAAUGGGAAGCCGUGAUGCGGAGCGAAAUAAAGUAGCGAAGUCCGUGAGCCAUGCGUCAAGAAAAGCCGCUAUCGUUUAUACCGUACCCGUACCGUAAACCGACACAGGUGGAUGAGGAGAGAAUCCUAAGGCCGGCGGAAGAAGCAUUGUCAAGGAACUCGGCAAAAUGGCCCCGUAACUUAGGGAUAAGGGGUGCCUGGGAAACCAGGCCGCAGAGAAUAGGCUCAAGCAACUGUUUAGCAAAAACACAGGUCUAUGCGAAACCGAAAGGUGAGGUAUAUGGGCUGACGCCUGCCCGGUGCUGGAAGGUUAAGAGGAGAGGUUAGCGCAAGCGAAGCUUUGAAUUUAAGCCCCAGUAAACGGCGGCCGUAACUAUAACGGUCCUAAGGUAGCGAAAUUCCUUGUCGGGUAAGUUCCGACCCGCACGAAAGGCGUAAUGAUUUGAGCGCUGUCUCGACAAUGCAUCCGGUGAAAUUGAAGUACCAGUGAAGAUGCUGGUUACCUGCGCCAGGACGGAAAGACCCCAUGGAGCUUUACUCCAGUCUGGUACUGGGACUCGGUAUUGCAUGUACAGGAUAGGUGGGAGGCUAGGAGAUGGUAACGCCAGUUGCCAUGGAGCCGCUGUUGGGAUACCACCCUUGCAGUAUUGGGUUUCUAACCAGCCGCCGUGACCCGGCGGUGGGACAAUGCCAGACGGGGAGUUUGACUGGGGCGGUCGCCUCCGAAAGGGUAUCGGAGGCGCCCAAAGGUUCCCUCAGAAUGGACGGAAACCAUUCGAAGAGUGCAAAGGCAGAAGGGAGCUUGACUGCGACACCGACGGGUGGAGCAGGUACGAAAGUAGGACUUAGUGAUCCGGUGGUAUGAAAGUGGGAUUGCCAUCGCUCAACGGAUAAAAGCUACCCUGGGGAUAACAGGCUUAUCACUCCCAAGAGUUCACAUCGACGGAGUGGUUUGGCACCUCGAUGUCGGCUCAUCGCAUCCUGGGGCUGUAGUAGGUCCCAAGGGUUGGGCUGUUCGCCCAUUAAAGCGGUACGCGAGCUGGGUUCAGAACGUCGUGAGACAGUUCGGUCCCUAUCCGGCGUGGGCGUAGGAUAUCUGAGAGGAGCUGUCCUUAGUACGAGAGGACCGGGAUGGACGGACCGCUGGUGUACCGGUUAGACUGCCAAGUCUACGGCCGGGUAGCCAAGUCCGGAAGGGAUAAACGCUGAAGGCAUCUAAGCGUGAAGCCCCCCUCAAGAUGAGAUAUCCCAUUCGAAAGAAGUAAGACCCCUUGAAGACGACGAGGUAGAUAGGGCAGAGGUGGAAGUGCCGUAAGGCAUGGAGCUGACUGUUACUAAUCGGUCGAGGGCUUGACCUG
rnacentral:rRNA from 1 species